rnacentral:rRNA from 1 species
CCUACGGGAGGCAGCAGUGGGGAAUAUUGGACAAUGGGGGCAACCCUGAUCCAGCAAUGCCGCGUGAGUGAUGAAGGCCUUAGGGUUGUAAAGCUCUUUUACCAGGGAUGAUAAUGACAGUACCUGGAGAAUAAGCUCCGGCUAACUCCGUGCCAGCAGCCGCGGUAAUACGGAGGGAGCUAGCGUUGUUCGGAAUUACUGGGCGUAAAGCGCACGUAGGCGGUUACUCAAGUCAGAGGUGAAAGCCCGGGGCUCAACCCCGGAACUGCCUUUGAAACUAGGUAACUAGAAUCCUGGAGAGGUGAGUGGAAUUCCGAGUGUAGAGGUGAAAUUCGUAGAUAUUCGGAAGAACACCAGUGGCGAAGGCGGCUCACUGGACAGGUAUUGACGCUGAGGUGCGAAAGCGUGGGAGCAAACAGGAUUAGAUACCCUGGUAGUCCACGCCGUAAACGAUGAUAACUAGCUGUCCGGGCACAUGGUGUUUGGGUGGCGCAGCUAACGCAUUAAGUUAUCCGCCUGGGGAGUACGGUCGCAAGAUUAAAACUCAAAAUGAAUUGACGG